UUUGAAUUAGAUCAGCCGAUUUUGCAACAGCAGCAAAAUACAGAUUCUUAUGAUAAUAGGUAUGGCAGUUGAAUAAUUAGAUGAUUCUUUUUCAUUUUUGGCUUGAACCCAAUUACAACUGAUUCCACACUAGGUUGCUUUCCCUUAAUGUAACAUUUUAAAAUAAUGUACUGGAAGUACCUUCAUUAUUCUACUUUCGGUAAUUUCCAUCAAAACUAUUGACAUGUUUAUGCAUUGCCCACCAAUUCAAAGCUAAUUAAAAACAUUAUAUGCUUUCCAGGAUUUUGAAUUUUUCACUUCUAUUAAAAAGAUAAAGGCCAUCAG
rnacentral:misc_RNA from 1 species